CCAGACUCCUACGGGAGGCAGCAGUGGGGGAUAUUGCACAAUGGGGGGAACCCUGAUGCAGCGACGCCGCGUGGGUGAAGGAGCGUUUCGGCGCGUAAAGCCCUAUCGGCAGGGAAGAAGGAGGACGGUACCUGACUAAGAAGCCCCGGCUAACUACGUGCCAGCAGCCGCGGUAAUACGUAGGGGGCAAGCGUUAUCCGGAUUUACUGGGUGUAAAGGGGGCGCAGACGGCGAUGCAAGCCAGGAGUGAAAGCCCGGGGCCCAACCCCGGGACUGCUCUUGGAACUGCGCGGCUGGAGUGCAGGAGGGGCAGGCGGAAUUCCUGGGGUAGCGGUGAAAUGCGUAGAUAUCAGGAGGAACACCAGUGGCGAGGGCGGCUUUCUGGACUGUAACUGACACUGAGGUACGAAAGCGU
rnacentral:rRNA from 1 species